rnacentral:rRNA from 1 species
GUGAGGAAUAUUGGACAAUGGGCGCAAGCCUGAUCCAGCCAUGCCGCGUGCAGGAAGACGCAUCUAUGGUGUGUAAACUGCUUUUGUACGGGAAGAAACACUCCCUCGUGAGGGAGCUUGACGGUACCGUAAGAAUAAGGAUCGGCUAACUCCGUGCCAGCAGCCGCGGUAAUACGGAGGAUCCAAGCGUCAUCCGGAAUCAUUGGGUUUAAAGGGUCCGUAGGCGGUUUAAUAAGUCAGUGGUGAAAGACCAUCGCUCAACGAUGGAACGGCCAUUGAUAGUGUUGGACUUGAAUUACAAGGAAGUAACUAGAAUAUGUAGUGUAGCGGUGAAAUGCUUAGAUAUUACAUGGAAUACCAAUUGCGAAGGCAGGUUACUACUUGUGGAUUGACGCUGAUGGACGAAAGCGUGGGGAGCGAACAGGAUUAGAAACACCGGUAGUCC